UGAACGCUAGCGGCAGGCUUAGCACAUGCAAGUCGAGGGGUAUAGUAGCAAUACUAGAGACCGGCGCACGGGUGCGUAACGCGUAUGCAAUCUACCUUUCACAGAGGGAUAGCCCAGAGAAAUUUGGAUUAAUACCUCAUAGUAUAUAGACCUGGCAUCAGGAUUAUAUUAAAGUCACAACGGUGAAAGAUGAGCAUGCGUCCCAUUAGCUAGUUGGUAAGGUAACGGCUUACCAAGGCUACGAUGGGUAGGGGUCCUGAGAGGGAGAUCCCCCCACACUGGUACUGAGACACGGACCAGACUCCUACGGGAGGCAGCAGUGAGGAAUAUUGGUCAAUGGGCGCAAGCCUGAACCAGCCAUGCCGCGUGCAGGAUGACGGUCCUAUGGAUUGUAAACUGCUUUUGUACAGGAAGAACACUCCCUCGUGAGGGAGCUUGACGGUACUGUAAGAAUAAGGAUCGGCUAACUCCGUGCC
rnacentral:rRNA from 1 species